CCUACGGGAGGCAGCAGUGAGGAAUAUUGGUCAAUGGACGAGAGUCUGAACCAGCCAAGUAGCGUGAAGGAUGACUGCCCUAUGGGUUGUAAACUUCUUUUAUAUGGGAAUAAAAUGUUCCACGUGUGGGAUUUUGUAUGUACCAUAUGAAUAAGGAUCGGCUAACUCCGUGCCAGCAGCCGCGGUAAUACGGAGGAUCCGAGCGUUAUCCGGAUUUAUUGGGUUUAAAGGGAGCGUAGGUGGAUUGUUAAGUCAGUUGUGAAAGUUUGCGGCUCAACCGUAAAAUUGCAGUUGAAACUGGCAGUCUUGAGUACAGUAGAGGUGGGCGGAAUUCGUGGUGUAGCGGUGAAAUGCUUAGAUAUCACGAAGAACUCCGAUUGCGAAGGCAGUUCACUGGACUGCAACUGACACUGAGGGUCGAAAGUGUGGGUAUCAAACAGGAUUAGAUACCCGUGUAGUC
rnacentral:rRNA from 1 species